rnacentral:rRNA from 1 species
AGUCGUACGAACAGCGGAAAGUGCUUGCACUUUCCAAGUAAGUGGCGAACGGGUGAGUAACACGUGAAUAACCUACCUCAAAGACUGGGAUAACCAUUGGAAACAGUGACUAAUACCGGAUAAAACCCAGUAGCACAUGCUACAAGGUUAAAAGCUGCGUUUGCAGCGCUUUAAGAUGGAUUCGCGGUGCAUUAGUUAGUUGGUGAGGUAAAGGCUCACCAAGACAAUGAUGCAUAGCCGAGUUGAGAGACUGACCGGCCACAUUGGGACUGAGACACGGCCCAAACUCCUACGGGAGGCUGCAGUAGGGAAUCUUCCACAAUGGGCGCAAGCCUGAUGGAGCAACGCCGCGUGUGUGAUGAAGGCUUUCGGGUCGUAAAGCACUGUUGUAUGGGAAGAACGGGUUUAAGAGGAAAUGCUUAAGNAGUGACGGUACCAUACCAGAAAGGGACGGCUAAAUACGUGCCAGCAGCCGCGGUAAUACGUAUGUCCCGAGCGUUAUCCGGAUUUAUUGGGCGUAAAGCGAGCGCAGACGGUUCGAUAAGUCUGAAGUGAAAGCCCACAGCUCAACUGUGGAAUGGCUUUGGAAACUGUCGAACUUGAGUGCAGUANAGGUAAGUGGAACUCCAUGUGUAGCGGUGGAAUGCGUAGAUAUAUGGAAGAACACCAGUGGCGAANGCGGCUUACUGGACUGCAACUGACGUUGANGCUCGAAAGUGUGGGUAGCAAACAGGAUUAGAUACCCUGGUAGUCCACACCGUAAACGAUGGAUACUAGUUGUUANAGGGUUUCCGCCCUUUANUGACGAAGCAACGCAUUAAGUAUCCCGCCUGGGGAGUACGACCGCAAGGUNANACUCNAGNAAU